GACGAACGCUGGCGGCGUGCUUAACACAUGCAAGUCGAGCGGAAAGGCCCUGCUUUUGCGGGGUGCUCGAGUGGCGAGCGGGUGAGUAACACGUGAGUAUCCUGCCCUUGACUGUGGGAUAACUUCAGGAAACUGGGGCUAAUACCUGAUAGGAGCUCCUGCUGCAUGGGGGUGGUUGGACAGUUUCGGCGGUUGGGGAUGGACUCGCGGCUUAUCAGCUUGUUGGUGGGGUAGUGGCUUACCACGGCUUUGACGGGUAGCCGGCCUGAGAGGGUGACCGGCCACAUUGGGACUGAGAUACGGCCCAGACUCCUACGGGAGGCAGCAGUGGGGAAUAUUGCACAAUGGGCGGAAGCCUGAUGCAGCAACGCCGCGUGCGGGAUGACGGCCUUCGGGUUGUAAACCGCUUUCGCCUGUGACGAAGCGUGAGUGACGGUAAUGGGUAAAGAAGCACCGGCUAACUACGUG
rnacentral:rRNA from 1 species